rnacentral:rRNA from 1 species
AGCGAACGCUGGCGGCAGGCCUAACACAUGCAAGUCGAGCGGGCCCUUCGGGGUCAGCGGCCGACGGGUGAGUAACGCGUGGGAACGUGCCCUUCGGUUCGGACUAACUCAGGGAAACUUGCGCUAAUACCGGAUACGCCCUUAUGGGGAAUGGUUUACUGCCGAAGGAUCGGCCCGCGUCUGAUUAGCUAGUUGGUGAGGUUAUGGCUCACCAAGGCGACGAUCAGUAGCUGGUCUGGGAGGAUGAUCAGCCACACUGGGACUGAGACACGGCGCAGACUCCUACGGGAGGCAGCAGGGGGGAAUAUUGGACAAUGGGGGCGACCCUGAGCCAGCCAUGCCGCGUGAGUGAUGACGGCCUUAGGGUUGUAAAGCUCUUUUCUCCGGGACGAUAAUGACGGUACCGGAGGAAUAAGCCCCGGCUAACUUCGUG